UUAUUUAAUCCUUCCCUUUUCUUUCUUUUUUUCCUCUCUCUUUUCUUUCUCUCCCCCUUUCUUUUAGCAGCCAUCGAGACCCCUCCCCGACCUCCAUCGCUUCACUGCCGCCUCAGUCACCCAACCUCGUCAGCCGCCAGAUCUGAGUCGAAACUCUCCCAGCCACACCGUCGACCAGCCUCUGCACCGCUUGCCUCUCGCGCCGCUCGCCCUCCUUCGCACUGCUCGUCGCGCCGGCGCUUCCUCCCAGCCACUGAAGUCGACACGAGUCAUAGAUCUGAGAUGCACGUCCUAGCUGUCUCAGUCCCAGAUCCAGCCGCUUGCCUCUACCUUCGUGUCGACUCCGUCGGAAAUCCAGAUCUGAAGCGCCGCCUCGCCGUUCGCGACCCGCACCGCCCCUUUCUCAAUCGGCCUGGAUCCGACUCUCACCAGCGAUGCACCGCUCAAUGGUGAGCUUCAAACGCCCCCACCUUUCUCUCUCUCUGACCCACGAAUCUGUAGCUUGUCGCCUCUGGUUGCGAGUCGUUGCUGCCUAGGUUGUGCGACUCCACUCCGACACCACGUCAAGCAGGAUGUCAUCGCCACUCGCUGGAUCUACUAGUUUGGAUACAAAGUUUGGAGGCAUUUUAAAGUCUUUUUGUGUGCUACCGACAAGAUUUAUGAGUUCAUCAAUUUUGGUAAAAUUUGGGUUCAGUUUGGACAAAUAAAUAGAACUUUGGAACUGGCCUCGAACCAAGCCACGACUUCGGCAAGUUAAAUUUGUGGUCAUUUGAUUUAAUUUGGUUAAUUGGAUUUAGACCCCAAAGAUGAGUUUUAAACUUUGGAUUUAUUAUUUUUGGACUAGGGGUACUAAAUUAAUAUUUGUAAUGUAUGUUAUAGGGUGGAUUCAAAGUCUUCCAAGAGUUGUAAG